UACGUAGGGUGCGAGCGUUGUCCGGAAUUAUUGGGCGUAAAGAGCUCGUAGGCGGUGUGUCACGUCGGCUGUGAAAACCUGCAGCUUAACUGUGGGCGUGCGGUCGAUACGGGCAUCACUGGAGUUCGGCAGGGGAGACUGGAAUUCCUGGUGUAGCGGUGAAAUGCGCAGAUAUCAGGAGGAACACCGGUGGCGAAGGCGGGUCUCUGGGCCGAUACUGACGCUGAGGAGCGAAAGCGUGGGGAGCAAACAGG
rnacentral:rRNA from 1 species